rnacentral:rRNA from 2 species
UGACCUGAAAUCAAGCAAGAAAACCCGCUGAACUUAAGCAUAUUAAUAAGCGGAGGAAAAGAAACUAACAAGGAUUCC